GGGAGCGUACUGGUUUCGACGGGGUUGUGGAGAUCAGGAAAGCGGGUAGAGGAUUCUCGUUGGCCUCUUUAAAAAACGAGAGAGCUUAUAAUUGCCAAUAAACCGGCACUCGCAGCGGCGUAACCGUUGCCGUCCGACCGACUGAUCUGCAGGUCGCCCUCGGACGUUAACAGUGCAGACCUUUCCUCGGUGGAGGUCAAACGAGGCUCCCGGCGGGCGAAUGUCUUGACGCUCGUCGCGUAUCAUUAGACUACUUGACCGACAAGACUGCCUGUGAUCGAGUCGGAAGAGGAAUAACCAAUCGCAGGCUGCACCCGGAGAUGUCCUUUUUGAUGCAGUUUCGGACAGGGGUUCGACUCCCCUCGCUUCCACCA
rnacentral:tmRNA from 1 species